UAAUACGUAAGUGGCGAGCGUUAUCCGGAAUUACUGGGCGUAAAGCGUUCGUAGGCGGUGCAGUAAGUUGGGUUUGAAAGCCCGGGGCUCAACUCCGGACCCGGAUCCAAAACUACUGUGCUGGAGCAUAUCAGGGGGCAGCGGAAUUCCCGGUGUAGCGGUAAUAUGCGUAGAUAUCGGGAGGAACACCAGUGGCGAAGGCGGCUGCCUGGGGUAUUGCUGACGCUGAGGAACGAAGGCCAGGGGAGCGAACGGGAUUAGAUACCCCGGUAGUCCUGGCGGUAAACGAUGGGCACUAGGUGUCAGGGGCUUCGACCCCCUUGGCGCCGCCGCUAACGCAUUAAGUGCCCCGCCUGGGGAGUACGGCCGCAAGGUUG
rnacentral:rRNA from 1 species